CUCUGCUAUUGACCAGCUGCAACCUAAUUUGGGAAGAAUGCUUAAUCCAGAUGCUUAUGGAGUUUUGCUUGCUCGGGCUUAAGCCCAACUUUCCUUGUUGACGUAUGCCUUGUUCCUGUUUUCUAUUGACAAGCUUGCCUCCUUUUUUAUAUCAAAAAAAAAAAAACAAACACCUAAAAACCUUCUUUGGCAUGAUUUUAGAGAUAUUUACAAGAGUGAGAA
rnacentral:lncRNA from 1 species